rnacentral:lncRNA from 1 species
UGAACAAAGUGAAGUGAAGCCCCUGUGGCCAUGGUGCUCCCUCAGCACAGGAAGGUGGAGGACUCGGUGGAGGACGAAGAUGAAAGCACCGCCUGCAGUCAUGUGGCCAGCUUCCUGUGAGCAAUGCCAUUGUCAAGUGCACCUCUUGUUUUAAUGUGAAUAGCUGGUGGGAACUUGUAGGUAACACAUCCACGUCCCUCUGUUUCCCUCCCCCUCUUACCCUUUAUCAUCUAAGGUAAGAUACUAAUGAAUAGUUGUAAUUUAUGCCCCAGAAUUCUAAGCCCCAGGUUCUCAGGGAAUGAAGCGGCCAUUUUUAGGGACUCUGCAUAUCCUCCUGCAGAGGAGGUCUGCGUGUUGCUACUGCACAAGGAAUAACUGUCAUUUCUCUGGAGGUUAAGGAUGGUCUAAGGAGAUGUGUGUGAGUGUCAAGUUGACAAAAGAAACUGUACUGCUCCAACUCAGCCUGGCUGAGUCCAGGUCUCCAAACACAUAAACAGUACAGUUUGGCUUGUAAAGAUAGAAUGCUGUGAC